CCAAGUCUGAAGGAUUCUGGGACUUGUAGUUCUCCGAGGAAUUUCCCUUUGCCGCGACGGCACUCCUCGGGAGUCAGCCUCGCCUCGUUCAGGCCGGGUCUCGUUUCUCAGAACCUGCGCCUUCGUAGCCAAGAAAGGGCAGAGAGUGGAAAUCAAGAGACAGGACCCUAAAGAAUAAUUCGUUGGGAUUUCUCCCACAGUCCACUGGAUCUUCUUUCACCUAGGAAAACAAAGAAGCAAAGAUGCUUACAGGUACAGGAAUAGAAAUUGCUUAUUCCAUUAAAAACUAUUAAAAUCACUGAGCAGUAGAAAUUUCAUGACGGAAUACAAUUCUCAGCAGCACAAAGGCCCUGGAUUGGUUGUUCAGCUGUGGUGGGACGGGCAGAAGAUGCAGAUGUCAGCAUCUGCCUUAUGACCUUAACAAUUGCCUUCUCUGGGGACCUUUGUCGUUCUGGAUGAAGGUUCUCAAAGGCGGAAGGUCCUGACAGAUGGGAUCUCUCUGCCGUGGACGUUUGAAUCUCUAGAGGGAACCCACGUGGAGCAGAAAUCCUCCAAAGAAUAGGAUGAUGGUGCGAAAUGCUGCUGUUUUUAGUGAGAGACAUCUGGCUAUUCUGUUUAUUCCAUGGGGAUUGGAAAGGAGUGCAAUGCCCUAUUUGACAAAUUCUGCGGUCAUAAGAAAAAAAUAAACAUUAUAUAUGUGUGUGUUUUUUGAAA